UCCUUGGGGGUCCAGUAGUUAAAACUCAGUGCUUUCAGGGCUGUGGGCCCAGAUUCGAUUCCUGGUCAAGGAA
rnacentral:tRNA from 1 species